UGUGGGAGCGGGCUUGCUCGCGAAGGCGUCGUGUCAGUUGAACUAUCCAAUGACUGACAGACCGCAUUCGCGAGCAAGCCCGCUCCCACA
rnacentral:antisense_RNA from 1 species